UAUCCGUGGGUUCACUGCAUCACGCACAAAACCUUUCGCCUUUUACUAAAGAUAUCCGUGCAGAGGACCGCUAUGAUCGGUAUAUAACAAUUUAUCGUUGCCUCGUCUUCGGACGAGGCU